rnacentral:misc_RNA from 1 species
GAUGAAGAACGCAGCGAAAUGCGAUACGUAAUGUGAAUUGCAAAUUCAGUGAAUCAUCGAGUCUUUGAACGCACAUUGCGCCCCCUGGUAUUCCGGGGGGCAUGCCUGUUCGAGCGUCAUCUACACCCUCAAGCACAGCUUGGUGAUGGGCGCCUGUCCCGCCCCCCACGGGGGCGCGGACUCGCCUCAAAUGCAUUGGCGGCCGGCGACCUGGCUUCGAGCGCAGCAGAAACGCGUACUCGGGGACCGGGCGCCCGCUCCCAGAAGCCAACCCACCCAGUUUGACCUCGGAUCAGGUAGGGAUACCCGCUGAACUUAAGCAUAUCAAUAAGCGGAGGA